rnacentral:rRNA from 1 species
UACGGGGGGGGCAAGCGUUGUUCGGAAUUACUGGGCGUAAAGGGCUCGUAGGUGGCCAACUAAGUCAGACGUGAAAUCCCUCGGCUUAACCGGGGAACUGCGUCUGAUACUGGAUGGCUUGAAUCCGGGAGAGGGAUGCGGAAUUCCAGGUGUAGCGGUGAAAUGCUUAGAUAUCUGGAGGAACACCAGUGGCGAAGGCGGUGUUCUGGGCCUGUACUGACGCUGAUGCGCGAAAGCGUGGGGAGCGAACAGG